CUUUCUCCGCCCGGCGACCGGCGCACGGGUGAGUAACACGUAUGCAACCUGCCCCUGUCAGGGGGACAACCCGCCGAAAGGCGGGCUAAACCCGCGUACAUGCCACCGGGCAUCCCGGAGGCAGGAAAGGCUUCGGCCGGACAGGGAUGGGCAUGCGGCGCAUUAGGCAGUAGGCGGGGUAACGGCCCACCUAACCGACGAUGCGUAGGGGUUCUGAGAGGAAGGUCCCCCACACUGGUACUGAGACACGGACCAGACUCCUACGGGAGGCAGCAG
rnacentral:rRNA from 1 species